rnacentral:lncRNA from 1 species
AUUCAGUGAAGACGCGGGGGGUGAGAAGGUUCCAGCUUUGCUAAGAAACAGGAGAAAAGCCAACCAGAACAAUGCGUGGAACCAGAGGAAAAGCACGGCCCCAUCGCAACACUGUCUCGGCCAGAAAAACAGGCCUGCGUCCUGCCAAUUGCACGGAGGCGAGGGGUCCCCCAGGACGAGGAGAGGUGCAGACGUGGCGUUAGGAGGCCGCACAUGUGCCCUGGCCGGAGGACCGCUCUUCCCUGGGGAUUGGGACUUCAGCUCAGACCGGUGGGGCCCCCACGGGACCAAGCGUCCCUGGACCAGCCUAGAUCAUGGUCGGACCUUCUGCCGGACGCAGCCCCACACACUCAGAGGCUUAGAACCAAGACCAUGAGGGUGAAGGGACGCUCAGGACUCAGCUGUCCAUCUUCCAUUUGUAAACGUGGAAACUCAGGCCCAGAGAGGGGCCCCUCUCAGGUCCGCCGCGUUGUUCCGAGACAGUGAAGGGUGUGGACACGGACACGAUGCUAGGUUGGCAUCUGUCAUUGCUGUUGGUUUUCCCAGUGAGGUGGGUACCGCCCUCAUCUCUGCCUUACACGCUAAGCUGUGGCCUGGAGACGUUAAGUCAGUCACCUAAGGCCACGCAGCUGUGAAGCGUAGAGCCGGGCCUCUAAUCGGGACCAUUUUAUCCUGCUGCGUCGGGACAGCAAGCAGGGCCUCUGACCUCCCGGCCCAGCAGGGCCCCUUCCACCCCAGGUCGCAGGUCCUGGACGAGGUUCUGUUUACACCCUGCUCAGCUCCUCCGCGAAGACGCCCCUGCAGACACAUCGCUUGGCCGGGCCCGCCCCGACUCUGACCUGCGGUUCUGCUUUGCCCCGUGCCCCCAGCCCUGCUCCCAGUCACAAUGCUGAUGCCGCCCUCUUCGGCCUCAGCUCCAGCGUGGCCUGCUGGGGCAGACGCCCCCCCUUCAUGCCCCGAGUGCCCCUCUCCCCUGGCUUUGCGGAUUAUAACCCUAAGUGUGUGUUUACCCAUGGCCUCCCCCCCGCUUUCCUGGCCACCGUGGUGCCUGGCAAGGAAGAAAGAACAAGCAGAAGUUGCUGGAGCUCCCGCUGCGGCGCCGUGGGAUCGGCAGCGUCUCUGCAGUGCCGGGACACAGGUUCAAAGGACCCAGGCUUGCAGCAGCUGUGGUGUAGGUCCCAACUGUGGCUCAGGUCUGAUCCCUGGCCCAGGAACUCCAUAGACCAGGGGGUGGCAAAAAAAAAAAAAAAGUUGUUGAUUCAGUAAAUGAAUGAAUCAACUAAAAAACAAAGAUAUGCCUUAGUUCUUCAAAUAAAUUUCUGCCCAAGUCUCUCAC